AUUAACUUGAAAUUAACAAAGCGAAUAUUUUACUUAUAAAGUGUUGAAAUAAGUUUCAAGUUGUUACUUGGAAAGGAGGAAAAAUAUGGACCAAAUUUCCAAGUCUUUUUAUGCAUUGAUGAUAUUUCUUUCUCUAAUUCUUGUUGUAACCAGUAAUGAUAUAAAGUGCACCGUCGCUGGUGAUUGUCCAGACUUCUUUAGGUGUCCCCCUAAUACAUUUGUGAGGUGUAUUAGUAAUAUUUGUAUAUGCAGGAGUUUGUCACAUUAGCAACCUUAAACAACUUUCAGAGGAAGUCAGUGUGUUGGUGACUAUCAAGGAUGUUUAUCCAUUUUAAUUUGUACUAAUAAGGUUCUAUUUCGGAAUAAGUGCCUUGAUUUAUUGAUAGGUGAUAUCUAGUUGAAAAACAAUAAUUUUAUCAAAAUUAUUGUUUUGAUGGAAUAAGUGUCUUGACAUAUUUAUUUUUUUUGAGAAUUAUUUUAAAUCUUAUACUUCUUACAAAUGUUACCAAAAACUAUUGAUUUCCUCAUCUUAAAUUUAGAUUUAGGGUGUCACAUAACCAUUAAUAUGAAAAAUAUUAUAUGUUAGUUAUAAAUAUAUAA